GAUGAACGCUAGCUACAGGCUUAACACAUGCAAGUCGAGGGACCGGCGCACGGGUGAGUAACACGUAUCCAACCUGCCCUUUACUCGGGGAUAGCCUUUCGAAAGAAAGAUUAAUACCCGAUGUAAAGGAUGGGGAUGAGUGCCAUUAGGUUGUUGGAGAGGGAAAGGCUAACCAAGCCUUCGAUGGAUAGGGGUUCUGAGAGGAAGGUCCCCCACAUUGGAACUGCGACACGGUCCAAACUCCGACGGGAGGCAGGAGUGAGGAAUCUUGGGCAAUGUGCGUGAGCCUGAACCAGCCAAGUAGCGUGAAGGAUGAAGGCUUAUGGGUCGUAAACUUCUUUUAUAUAAGAAUAUGUAUUAUAUGAAUAAGGAUCGGCUAACUCCGUGCCAGCAGCCGCGGUAAUAC
rnacentral:rRNA from 1 species